rnacentral:lncRNA from 1 species
UUUGAUUUACAACUGAAUUAACUCUUGUAAAAUAAUCUGAAAUACUUUCAUUCUCCUUCAUUUCUAAUUUUUCAAAUUCUGUUCUUUAGGUUUGGAGACGUACCUUUUUUACCUUUUUCACACCUUUGUAUGUAAUUUGAAUAAUCUCCCAGACUUCCUUUGAACUUUUAGCUUUAGCAACUCUUUCAUACACCGACAUCUCAAUUGUUUGAUAAAUUUGGAAACACACCUUGCUGUCCUUUUUUCAAUUUUCCUUCAAAUUAUUUUUCUGUGCUUGUGUCAAGGCAUCUUCGUUUUCUGUAUCCUCAUACCCUUCAUCCACAAUAUUCCAUAGAUCCAUUGACUUGAGCAAUAACAUCAUAUUGUCUCUCCAAUAAUCAUAAUUUUCUCCACCAAAUCGAGGAAUAAGUGAAGUCAUAUUAUUGGAAUUCGCCAUCUCUUUAAUGCUUCGUAGCCCGCUUUUUCUUCUUUGCUGCGAAUCUGCUAAGCUAUUGCUCUGCUUUUUUACUUGUGAUAAAAUAUUCUACUUGGAGACAGUACCUCUUAUUUAACGUAGGAGCAGCUGGGCUACAAGAGAAAGCUCAGCUACAAGGAUAUGAUGACAACCCUGUUAAUAUGAAACUUGCUCAGCUGGGCUACACCAAUUUGUUGCUAGUAGCAUAUGAAACUUCCAGUAGCGGAGAAGAUUGAUUGGAGGGACAUCACUGUCAUUUACUGGGAUAAUUUUGGGCGUGACCCUGCUAGCUUAUUUCAAAAGCCUUCGCAACAAGAAUAAAUAAAACAGUAGCUCUGAUACGAAUUUGUAGUAUAAAUGAAGGAGAAAAGUGAUUAUAUAUAAACUGAACUUUUGCUCUUAUUA